GAAAGAAAGAAAUAAGGAGAAAAGGGAAAUUAAAGAUCUAAUUUCCCUUUUCUCCUUAUUUCUUUCUUUUGU
rnacentral:miRNA from 1 species